CGCGGCCUAUCAGCUUGUUGGUGAGGUAACGGCUCACCAAGGCGACGACGGGUAGCUGUUCUGAGAGGAAGAUCAGCCACACUGGGACUGAGACACGGCCCAGACUCCUACGGGAGGCAGCAGUGGGGAAUCUUGCGCAACGGGCGAAAGCCUGACGCAGCGAUGCCGCGUGCGGGAAGACGGCCUUCGGGUUGUAAACCGCUUUCAGCAGGGACGAAAUUGACGGUACCUGCAGAAGAAGCUCCGGCCAACUACGUGCCAGCAGCCGCGGUAAGACGUAGGGGGCGAGCGUUGUGCGGAAUUAUUGGGCGUAAAGGGCUCCUAGGUUGUUCAGUAAGUCGACUGUGAAAAUCCAAGGCUCAACCUUGGGACGCCAGUCGAUACUGCUGUGACUCGAGUUCGGUAGAGGAGUGUGGAAUUCCUGGUGUAGCGGUGAAAUGCGCAGAUAUCAGGAGGAACACCAACGGCGAAGGCAGCACUCUGGGCCGAAACUGACACUGAAGAGCGAAAGCAUGGGGAUCAAACAGGAUUAGAUACCCUGGUAGUCCAUGCCGUAAACGUUGGGCACUAGGUGUGGGGUCUUAUCAACGGACUCCGUGCCGCAGCUAACGCAUUAAGUGCCCCGCCUGGGGAGUACGG
rnacentral:rRNA from 1 species